GAAAAAACUAGCAACUACAGUGAAAACCAUGACAGAAUCAUCAAAUACAGACUUUUACAUUGGAGAGAUGCAAUUUGAAGCACAAGAACUUCAAAAUUGCCCUCAAAUCUCUUCCUAACCACCCAACUCCAACCCCUAUGACGACAUUGGAUGGCGAUGCAAAAACAGGCCCCACUACAAAAACUAGCUCACCACCUAGCAUGGAGGUUCUUCCACUGGUUACACUAGUAUCUUUGUUAAUAGAAAUUGCAACAAGAGUGGAAGGCAUUGUCGAUGCUAUUAGUGAGUUGGCGAUGCUGGCAGAAUUCAAGCCUGCCACCUCUUAAAGGGACCAAAAUGAGCGCAGUAGCAAACUUACCUCAAGCAACCCAGAUUAUCAAACAACGAAGAAUCCAACAAAG
rnacentral:misc_RNA from 1 species